rnacentral:misc_RNA from 1 species
AGCAGCCGCGGUAAUUCCAGCUCCAAUAGCGUAUAUUAAAGUUGUUGCAGUUAAAAAGCUCGUAGUUGAAUUUCGGGAUCAAUAUAUCGGUCGUGCCUUCGGUACGUACUGGUAUCAUUGGUUUCUUCUUUCUGACAAACCAUGAUGUCAUUAAUUUGGUGUUAUGGGGAGUUAGGACUGUUACUUUGAAAAAUUAGAGUGUUUAAAGCAGGCUUUAGCUUGAAUACAUUAGCAUGGAAUAAUGAAAUAGGACGUUCGAACCUAUUUUGUUGGUUUCUAGGAUCAACGUAAUGAUUAAUAGGGAUAGUUGGGGGCAUUAGUAUUCAAUUGUCAGAGGUGAAAUUCUUGGAUUUAUUGAAGACUAACUACUGCGAAAGCAUUUGCCAAGGAUGUUUUCAUUAAUCAAGAACGAAAGUUAGGGGAUCGAAGACGAUCAGAUACCGUCGUAGUCUUAACCAU